AUUGAACGCUGGCGGCAUGCCUUACACAUGCAAGUCGAACGGUAACAGGUUAAGCUGACGAGUGGCGAACGGGUGAGUCAUGUAUCGGAACGUGCCCAGUCGUGGGGGAUAACUGCUCGAAAGAGCAGCUAAUACCGCAUACGACCUGAGGGUGAAAGCGGGGGAUCGCAAGACCUCGCGCGAUUGGAGCGGCCGAUAUCAGAUUAGGUAGUUGGUGAGGUAAAGGCUCACCAAGCCGACGAUCUGUAGCUGGUCUGAGAGGACGACCAGCCACACUGGGACUGAGACACGGCCCAGACUCCUACGGGAGGCAGCAGUGGGGAAUUUUGGACAAAGGGCGCAAGCCUGAUCCAGCCAUGCCGCGUGCGGGAAGAAGGCCUUCGGGUUGUAAACCGCUUUUGUCAGGGAAGAAAAGGUUCUGGCUAAUACCUGGGACUCAUGACGGUACCUGAAGAAUAAGCACCGGCUAACUACGUG
rnacentral:rRNA from 1 species